AGCGAGUUCGCAAGAACGUAUAUAGAGGAAUAAGGGAGAGGCCGUGGGAAAAAUGGGCAGUUGAAAUUAGAGACCCUUUCAAGGGCGUCCGCGUUUGGCUCGGCACACUUUCAACACAGCCGAAGCCACCAAGCGUAUCCGCGGCAACAAGGCCUAGCUCAACUUUGCUCUGCCGCCGCCGGCGCCAAUAACUCCACCUCUAGCUAAGAAACGCUGCACGCUAUCUCCUGCUAUCCCCUGAGUUACUCAGCCGAGUUUUGAAGAUUACUUUUUUUUUUCUUUUGGGCUUUCAUUGGUUUAUCAUUUGAGUCUACAAACAAAUUGUAUUCUUUUUCCCUAAAUUGUGAACACUUGGGGUUUUUAUUGUUGAAAUGCUUUAUUAUUUUUCGAUGACCAAGUAAUGUGAAUCAAUGUUCUCUUUAAAUAAUUUUCCCCUGUCCUUGCAUGUUCUACCGGUCAUUAUUUUUUAUUUGAAUUUGAAGAAACUUUCUAAGUGCAUACACCCAUAUGAAGUCGAAGAUCUUCCAGACAAGGUGGCAUCCAUCAAGAUCAAGAAAUUUUACUGCUUAGCAUGUGUUAUAUUUAUGGAUUGGCUAUUGAAAAAAUAAUGUUUGUACUGAUGCAGAUGCAGGAACUUUACACAUCUUAAGUUUACGUGAUAUUUUUUUCUUUUUUGACUCUGUUAGAUAGUUGUCAGUUAGUUAACCAAUUUAUGUUACUCUUCCUUGGCUAGCCAAUUAAGAACUCAUGUUUGCUGGAUUGUAAAGCCUACAUCUGGAAGCCACAGGUGAUUUUAUUUGAAGGCAAUUUGUUCUAGGCUAUAUGCGGAUUUCUAUCAUGAUUUCUGUAAGCUUGAAGGAGAUUUUUUUUAUGCGUGAGAGCUUGAAAAUUAUAUAUGUACAUGUUGAAACUAUUGGAUAUAUGUUAAGAAUCAAGCAUAAUUGUGUCGAGAUGAAACCAUAAUUUGGGUGCUGUUUUAUGAGUAAACUAUCUGCAAUUUGGGUGCAGUAAACCUAGGUUGAAUACCGGGACAUGGUAUAAAAGUGAAAUCACACAUUGAGUCUCGCAUAAAGAUUUUAAAGAUGCAAAUUCGAAUUGUACAUGAGAUGUUAUCUUGAUCGAAUUGCAGCGGCUUUGUUUUGGAUCCAGAAAACAAAAUUGUAAGCACAGAGAAGUCUCUAUGGGAUGCUUAUAUUAAGGUGCAUAAUGGCCUCAUUGAGUUUUGUGUUGUUGUUCUACGUUGUUUGAGUUUUGUGCUUCUGUUCUUUGUUGCUGCUUUUGCUACCGAUUUUGGCUAUUUUCUGCCACUCUGUUAUUUGCUAUUUUUUACUACUUUGGCUGCUGAUUUUUGCUGUUUUCGCUGCUUUAGCUGUUGUUUUGUCUGCUUUUUUUUUUUUUUUUUACUGCUCUUAUUGUUGAUUUUUGCUGUUCUCUAUCGUGUUUUACCCACUGGUUGUCGCAUGUUUAUUAAUACUGUUUGCUGCUGUUUUUUGCUGCUAAUUUUUUUUUUUUUUUUUCUGUUUUCUGCGGUUAUUUGCUGCCGUUGCUGUUUUACUCGCCAGUUGAUGAUGUUUUGUGGUUCUCCUCCUCCUCGAGUGCCUACUUUUUCCAGUGUGCAAGCAUAUCUGUUGAGAGUGGCUGAUGAAAUCACUAAACUGUUACAGUUGAUCUCAUGCUUCUCUAGAGAAGGAAUUAGACUUAUUUUGGUGAAGGGGUUUUUUCUGGUUUUUAUAUCAGUGUGUGCGUUUCUUCAAUCAUGUAGCUUUGUGGCAUUACGAUCGAUAAUGUAAUUUGCUGAUGAUAAGUACACUGAGUGAUGUAUAUAUGUGUGGCUGUGUGAUCAUUACUGAUAAAUUCAUUUGAUCAGCAAUUAUUCUUUACGAGUUUGGUAAUCGAGCAAACUGAUUAUCAGUUGGCAAACUAAUUAGAUAUUGCAUUUUGGCCUUGAAGUGAAAUUAGUGAACAUGUUUCUUGAGGGCUUCUUUUAUAAGACACUUGAAGAAGAAAAUUCAUGUUUUUGCAAAACUUCUUUCUCAAUAUAAAAUGAUAAUUCGAAAGAAUAUUUAUUAAAGAAGCUUGGAACUUGGAGGGCAAUUUGAAUUCUGAAACGGCACCGUUUCACCUCGACCCACUAGAUACAAACUGAUUAUGAGUGACACCAACGAUUGACCGCUGAGACAGAGAACCUCUCUCGGUGACGCCGACGGCCAGCUUUCACGCUCAUCUGCCGUCAUAUUCGGCAGCCGCCUGCCGUCACUCCGUCUUUGUUGUUGCGCCGGUGAAGGUGAGUACCGAGUUGUCAGUUGAGUUCAAUAGUUGUAUUUUGUAAUAGCAAUUACAAUUAUCGGGUUUAAUUUGGGACAAUUUUGAUCAUCAAUCUUUGCCAUGUUUCGUAUGACUCUGUUCUGUCUCACAUAGCAGGUUCUUGGUAGCUCGUACUCAUCAAUGUAUCCUGAUCGUGGUAUGGGAGGCAGCAGUUACAUGGGUAGUGGUGGUUCCGGAUCAUACUAGUGAUGUGGUAAAAAUUGAAUUGUAAGUGAAAUUUUCUUUUAUGUAAAAUUACAAUGAUCUAAUUUUCUUGGUGCAUUAUAAACUGAGACAUAAUGGUUCACCGAAGACUUUGGCAUCUCUCAAGUUAGCUAAGACGCAUGGUUCACGACAAAGGAAUCUACGGUAACAAGUGAAUUUUCUAUGGAACAGACUUGAGAUGAUGACAAAGAGGCUGCUGUAGGGUGUGGACUAUAUGAAGCUUCUCGCAUUAGGAUGCUUGCUACUUUGGAGAGGAUCAAGUUGCUGAGCCUAACAGCCUCCAUAUGUCAUGGGAAGGGCUGCACUGGUUUAGGCCAUUCUUGGUUCUACAGACUGAUUACUUUGUCAAGUCUUAAUGCUGCAAGGAAACUCCCCUCAGUGUGUGAUAUGUACGAAUUGCUUCUUUACUUUUCUGUAUAAGAACUCCACUUGAUGGACAGUGUGGAGGCAUCUGCAUAAAUCUGUUUAUUGGAAUCAACCCUGUCUGAUCCGAAUUUUAAAACCGAAUCGAAUUUUAAUAUCGAACCCAACCGGAUAUCUUGGUUCGAUUCGGUUUGAUUUUAAGCUCGGUUCUAUUUUUUAGGAACCGCCAGCUUGGGUACGGAACCGAACCAAACCAAACCAAACCGUACACUGUGUGCCUCAGUAAAGAGUUUGAUUUCUCUAUUUUAACCUUAAUUAAAUAUUGAUUUCCAAUUUUACCCUUUAACAAAACUAAAUUAAAUAACAAUAAUUUUCACUUGCUUUUUCGAUUUCAUUUUACGGCUCAACAAAAUCUCUCAAAACCGUUGUUCUGAACUUCCGGCGGCUUUCAGUACCGGCGAAGGCUGAAGAUUCAAGCAAUAGAGCUGCUCAUGAUGAGGGGAAGGAGAAGAAGACUUAGCCGAGUUUUGAAGAUUACUUUUUUUUUUUCUUUUGGGUUUUCAUUGGUUUAUCAUUUGAGUCUACAAACAAAUGGUAUUCUUUUUCCCUAAAUUGUGAACACUUGGGGUUUUUAUUGUUGAAAUGCUUUAUUAUUUUUCGAUGACCAAGUAAUGUGAAUCAAUGUUCUCUUUAAAUAAUUUUCCCCUGUCCUUGCAUGUUCUACCGGUCAUUAUUUUUUAUUUGAAUUUGAAGAAACUUUCUAAGUGCAUACACCCAUAUGAAGUCGAAGAUCUUCCAGACAAGGUGGCAUCCAUCAAGAUCAAGAAAUUUUACUGCUUAGCAUGUGUUAUAUUUAUGGAUUGGCU
rnacentral:lncRNA from 1 species